rnacentral:tRNA from 1 species
GAAGGUGUAGCUCAAGUGGUAGAGUGCAUGCUUAGCAUGCAUGACGUCCUGGGUUCAAUCCCUUGUGCCGUCU